CCGUAACUUCGGGAGAAGGUGUGCUCUUUGUGGUGAUUUCACUAGCUGAAUAAGCUAUAGAGAGUUGAAGAAACCAGGUGGCUCCGACUGUUUAUUAAAAACACAGCACUCUGCAAACACGUAAGUGGACGUAUAGGGUGUGACGCCUGCCCGGUGCUUGAAGGUUAAUUGAUGAGGUUAGGAUUCGUCCGAAGCUUUUGAUCGAAGCCCAAGUAAACGGCGGCCGUAACUAUAACGGUCCUAAGGUAGCGAAAUUCCUUGUCGGGUAAGUUCCGACCUGCACGAAUGGCGUAACGAGGGCCACACUGUCUCCACCCGAGACUCAGUGAAAUUGAAAUUGCUGUUAAGAUGCAGUAUACCCGCGGCCAGACGGAAAGACCCCGUGCACCUUUACUACAGCUUUGCAUUGAACUCUGAUCCUACCUGUGUAGGAUAGGUGGGAGACUUUGAAACCGGGACGCUAGUUCUGGUGGAGUCAUCCUUGAAAUACCACCCUGGUAUGGUUGGGGUUCUAACCUUGGUCCGUUAUCCGGAUUGGGGACAAUGCAUGGUGGGUAGUUUGACUGGGGCGGUCUCCUCCUAAAGAGUAACGGAGGAGCGCAAAGGUACCCUCAGCACGGUCGGACAUCGUGCAAUGAGCGCAAAGGUAAAAGGGUGCUUGACUGCGAGACUGACACGUCGAGCAGGUAGGAAACUAGGUCUUAGUGAUCCGGUGGUUCUGAGUGGAAGGACCAUCGCUCAACGGAUAAAAGGUACGCCGGGGAUAACAGGCUGAUACCGCCCAAGAGUUCACAUCGACGGCGGUGUUUGGCACCUCGAUGUCGGCUCAUCACAUCCUGGGGCUGAAGCAGGUCCCAAGGGUAUGGCUGUUCGCCAUUUAAAGUGGUACGCGAGCUGGGUUUAGAACGUCGUGAGACAGUUCGGUCCCUAUCUACCGUGGGCGUUGGAGACUUGAGGGAAGCUGUUCUUAGUACGAGAGGACCGGAAUGGACACACCUCUGGUGUUUCGGUUGUGACGCCAGUCGCAUUGCCGAGUAGCUAUGUGUGGAAAGGAUAACCGCUGAAAGCAUCUAAGCGGGAAGCCCCUCCCAAGAUUAGGUCUCCCUGACAGUUUAACUGUCCUAAAGAUCCCUCGAAGACUACGAGGUUGAUAGGCACGGUGUGGAAGAGUAGUGAUACUUGAAGCUAACGUGUACUAAUUGAUCGUGAGGCUUGACCAU
rnacentral:rRNA from 1 species